AUAAGACUCUGAUGAAUCUAAUGCAUAACAAUUACUUAGAAGAUUUAUAUAUGAAGAAAGCAGUAAUUUCACCUAUAUCUAAAAUUAUGUUAUAUAAGAUAUUAUUGAGAAGUCUAGAUAUACCUAAGACACUCAGACAACAAAUUGCAAUGAUAAGGUGAUACAAAAUAAGCCCCUUAUGCCAUAUUAGAACAGAAUACCGAAUACCUCUUUAAUUGCGUAUCCAACCCACUACCCAAAACAGGUUACUACAGAACUACCGUUAAUUCUUAGAAAUGAAGAGGACAAUCCUAUUACUUGAUCCAGUAAGUAUACAACCCAGAAGAGUAAAAGAUAAUAGUAUUGUUCUCCUCAACAGUCCACUCUGGUGUUUACUAUAUCCCAGAACCAGAAUGGGAGUGAGAAGGAAAUCCUACAAAAUGCUAAAGUAAAAGAUACAUUCUGGGAACUAAACAUGUCAGAGAAUUGACCUCCUGGAGAGAGAGAUAAAAAAUUGGAACUAUGACUUUAAAGCUAGAGCCACUCGUAAACAGCUUGACUUAUUACAUUGACAGCUUGUUAAAUUACUUCUUCGGAAGCUUGAGUAUGAAUAUAAACUAAGGUUAGGUAAAGAAACCAGCUCCUGUGACUGUUACAACUCCAUUUUUGCUUAGGAUAAACUGACAAACCUGAGAAUAGAACUGACAGCCACAGAACAAAUGAUUAGGAGAUUCUGUACAUGACACAUUGACACAGCAAACAAGAGCCAUCCAUAGUCACUCCCCAUGAGAACAAUCUGUCCUUUUAUAGCAAGCUGCCUAUGAAAAGCUAACCACUGAAUGAAAGACCACCUAAGCACGUGAUGGGCUUUUUUGGUAAAAUUUCUAUUCGAUUUAUUACCCAACUCUCAAUCUGAGCCCUGUAGACUUCAAGGGAUCUGAGUUAGCAGAACAAUUCAAUUCUGGCAAUUGAAUCACCACAUCAUAUACCAUCACUCAUUUGAAUCUCUCAUCUUAAUCUCAGGGACGGCUCUGAGUUUUUUGGGGCCAGAUGCGAACUAUUUAAAUGGGCCCCCCAUAUCAUUCACAAAA